GCCGGGAGGAGGUGGCGCUGGGACUGGGUUCAGGGGGGCCUCUGGGUGGAGGAGGGCGUGGGGAAUGGCGGCGAGUGGGAGGCAUCCUGGCCCGUCUGCCCCAGGGGCUGGAGCAGGCUGUCCCUGUCGCCUGGCAGGGAGCUCUGCGAGGCUCUCAUUAGUCAGCCGCGCGGGGAGGAGCCGGGUGACCUUACGCUGGCUGGAGCCUCUGCGGCCAUUAGCCCCGGUCCCCUGGCGGCGCGCUGCCUCCAAGUUCCAGAGGCCUUUACAGAGCGGAUAUACCGAACUCCAGCCUGAAAUCGAGGGUCCACAGCACGAAUAAAGAUGCGGGCGUCCAUCGAGUUCCCCAGAGCAUCAGGAAUGAAGCGGCUGAGAUCAGAAUUUCCACACUUGCCAGAGCACGUGGUUUGGGGAACAAGGAGAACCUGCUCUUGGGCUGGGUUUCACAACCUCCCCGGCAUCUCCAGCUGGUCCUGGAACUGAGAACUUUCCAAAUCAAACAUAAUGAAAACACACCCGAGGAAGUGGCAGCAAAAACUGCCAUUGACAGAAGUCUUCCAAUGUGCCAGGCAAUAUUUGCUGAGUGUUUUAUAGGUAUUAACGUACUUGAUCCUCAGGACAACCCCAUGAGUUAUUCCCAUUUUACAGCUGGGGAAACUGAGGCUGGGAGAAGUUGUGUAACUUGUCCAAGGCUGUCCAGUUAGGAAGUAGCAGGGCCUAAAUUUGAACCCAGGCUGUCUGGCUCUGGAGCCCCAAGGCUGUAAUCAGUAUGCUUUUUCUGAAAACGAAAUCCAUCUGGAUUUAGACAUGCUUAUGAGUCAUGCUCAGUAGCCUACUUUCUGUACUUUUUUGUAAUCUGAAAUAUUUUAUUAAAAAAACAAAAUCUCAAAGCUCUGACCAAUGAGGCUAAACGGGGCCGGAUGUGUGCAAAUCAGAGCACUUCUGUAGUGACCUUAAAGAAAAACAUUCUUUUUUAAAAUAUCUAUUUCAUUUGCUUUUUUUAAAAUGAUAAUUUUGUAUUAUGUUAGUCACCAUACAGUAUAUUUAUUUGCUUUUUUUAAAGUAGCCUCCACACCUAACAUGGGGCUCGAACUCACGACCCUCGAGUCGCACACUCCACUGACUGAGCCAGCCAGGUGCCCCAAGAAACACAUUCUUGGGUUGAAACUUCUUCUGCAAGUGCUGUCGCUGUGGUCUCUGGUCCUGUCCCGGGCCCACAGGCAAGUGUCUCACACUGGAUCGGAGCCGCAGGGGUGAAUGUGGGCAGCUGUGCAGGGGCUGCAGGCGGAGUCGUCUGCUGGAGGGCUCGGCUGCCUCCUUUCUCCCUGCAGUUGGGGAAGGCUGGGGUUCCAGCUGCCUCUUUGCCACUUUCAGGCUGACCCUGGGUAAGUGACGUCAUCGCCCUUAGCGUCAGUUUCCCUGCCUGCAAAAUAAGGUGUCUGCUCAUCUCAGCCUGACAUUCAGGCUCACAGUCUCUCCCCUCAGGUACUCUCUCCUCUGGUUCUCACUCUGUGCUGCACGGUAGAACCACCCAGAAGCUUUAAAAAAAAAUGCACCCACGGGCACCGGGCGAUCCCCUCACAGCUGCAUUUCUGCUUCAGUCGGCCCCGCACCCCUGCUUCCCUGUCUCUAUCACCCCCUUAAGGCCACUCCCUCCCCACCAUCUUCUCUGAUUGCUGGAGGAUGUAAGGGUUAAGAGUGUAGAAUUCUGUCUAUACCACAUAUACAGUCCUUCUCACCUUUCAGGACUUCAACAAAAAUCUCAGGUGCUGCCUUUUCUAGCAUCAUCUGCGGCUCCUCUCCUCUUCCUGUCUUAUGUCCACUCAGCUGGAAUUUGGCCUCCAACUCUGAUAGGAGCUGUGCUCAUAAAGGCCACCAGUGACCCUCACCCUGGAGCGCACUCCUGACCUUCAGAGGCCCGGAUUCAGCUGCCUCUCUGGCCUCUCCACUUGGCUACCUGGAGGCUGGUUCAGCCCAGCGCCCCAGACAGGAGCGCGUGCUCCUUCCUAGCCUGCUCUGUCCACAGCCUGCUCGUCCUGCCUGCCACUUGCUCUGGCCAGAAACCCUGGGGUGAUCUUUGACUCCACUUUCCUUCAUGCCCCACCUCAUUCCAUCUGCAAAUCCUGUUGGUUUGACCUUCCUAAAAAUCCAGAACCCGUUACUUGUCAUCCCCACUGCCUCGUCUCGGCUGAGCCGUUAACACCAUUCUCCAUCCUGCAUUCAACACCUCUCCUCUUUCACCUGGCCUCCGGGCUGCUCCUCAACCAUGCCCCUACCUGGGGCCAUUGCUCAGGCUGUUACCCUUGCCUGGAUGUUCCAGAUGUCUGCAGGGCCCGCAGCCUGCCUUCCCUUACCUCUCAUUUAAUAUUGCAGUCUCUGCCUCCACCCGGCCCCUCCAGCUCCUUUAACACUGCUCUACCUUUUCUUUCUUUCUUUUUUAAUUUGAUAUCUCUUCUUAUAUUCUAGAUGAUUUACUUAUUUACUAAGGCUCAAAAUAAACUAAAAAAUUUCUGUCUCUCUCCCUGGUACUGAACAAAAGCUCACGAAGGCAGGCAUCUUCACUGUCACAGACACAGCACAGUUGCCUGGGUUGGUGGCUGGCGUCUAGCUCUGUGGGAGCAUCCGUUGUGUGAAUGAGCAAAUGAACGAGUUCCUUGACCUUCCCAGGCAGACGUGGGCAUCCUCAAGGUGAAGGGGUGUCAUUGGCCCCUUGCACCACUGCCCUGGGGUGGAGUGGGGGUAGAGUAUUUGUUAAAAAUGCACGGUGAUUCUGCCAGCAUGCCAGCAAGCCCCUCUCCUGUAAUCUGUGCUCAGGCUUGCGUCCGAGAACCACAGCUGGGAAUAAAGCCUGCAGGCUUGGAGUCAGGAACCCAGUGGGUUCUAGAGCCGAGUUAGAGCACAUCACACAGCAUUAUUGCCAUUGUCAUUGUCCUGGACUCCCUCAGUGCUUAACCUCUGCUUUUCACAGAACACUGAUCAUAGGUGUUUAAAAGAAGAGUUUAAGGGGCGCCUGGGUGGCCCUUUCAUUAAGCAUCUGCCUUCGGCUCAGGGCGUGAUCCCGGCGUUCUGGGAUCGAUCCCCACAUCAGGCUCCUCUGCUGGGAGCCUGCUUCUUCCUCUCCCACUCCCCCUGCUUGUGUUUCCUCUCUCGCUGGCUGUCUCUCUCUCUCUCUCUCAAAUAAAUAAAUAAAUAAAUAAAUAAAUCUUAAAAAAAAAAGAGUUUAAAGAUACUUGACAGGUGGAAUGAGUAGUUGGACAUAGGAUAAAGCAAAUGCAGUAACAUAAGAGUAGCAUGUAGGUGGCUGGGUAUACAGAUGCUCAAUAAACAAUGCUUUCAGCUUUGAACGCUCGAGACUUUGUAUGUUUGAAAAUUUUUCAUAAUAAAAUGCCGGGAAGCAUGCUAUUAUGAACUUAAAAACGCUCAUUGCAGGAAAACUGGAAAAUACAGAAAAAGAGAAGGAAGCAAAAUAAUUCCAGUAACCACCCCUAGCCCCAGCACCCAGAGGGAUUCUCCUUGAAGACGUUGGUGUAUAUCUUUCUAGUCUUUUUGUCGUGUGUAUUUAUUUUGUUACAUAGUAGUAAUUGUAUAGAUUACCCCAAAUUGAACACACUGAUGUUUGUCAGGGGUGUGUGUGUGUGU
ensembl:lncRNA